AGCGAACGCUGGCGGCAGGCUUAACACAUGCAAGUCGAGCGGGCACUUUCGGGUGUCAGCGGCGGACGGGUGAGUAACGCGUGGGAACGUGCCCUCUGGUUCGGAAUAACUCAGGGAAACUUGAGCUAAUACCGGAUACGCCCUUUUGGGGAAAGGCUUGCUGCCGGAGGGUCGGCCCGCGUCUGAUUAGCUAGUUGGUGAGGUAACGGCUCACCAAGGCGACGAUCAGUAGCUGGUCUGAGAGGAUGAUCCGCCACACUGGGACUGAGACACGGCCCAGACUCCUACGGGAGGCAGCAGUGGGGAAUAUUGGACAAUGGGCGCAAGCCUGAUCCAGCCAUGCCGCGUGAGUGAUGAAGGCCUUAGGGUUGUAAAGCUCUUUUAUCCGGGACGAUAAUGACGGUACCGGAGGAAUAAGCCCCGGCUAACUUCGUG
rnacentral:rRNA from 1 species